rnacentral:rRNA from 1 species
UACGUAGGGAGCAAGCGUUGUCCGGAAUCAUUGGGCGUAAAGCGCGCGUAGGCGGCCCGAUAAGUCCGCUGUGAAAGUCAACGGCUCAACUGUUGAAAGCCGGUGGAUACUGUCGGGCUAGAGUACGGAAGGGGCAAGUGGAAUUCCUGGUGUAGCGGUGGAAUGCGCAGAUAUCAGGAGGAACACCCAUAGCGAAGGCAGCUUGCUGGGACGUUACUGACGCUAAGGCGCGAAAGCGUGGGGAGCGAACAGG